rnacentral:misc_RNA from 1 species
GUAGGUGAACCUGCGGAAGGAUCAUUACCGAGUAUUGGGUCUCACGGCCCGCACUCCAACCCUCUGUGUACCAAAAUUGUUGCUUUGGCGGGCCCGCGGUGUCAUGCCGCUGCCGGCUCACGCUGGUUAGCGCCCGCCAGAGAACCCCUAAACUCUUGUUUAAACAGUGUCGUCUGAGCAAAAACAAACAAUCAAAACUUUCAACAACGGAUCUCUCGGUUCUG